rnacentral:rRNA from 1 species
GACGAACGCUGGCGGCGUGCUUAACACAUGCAAGUCGAACGGAAAGGCCCUGCUUUUGUGGGGUGCUCGAGUGGCGAACGGGUGAGUAACACGUGAGUAACCUGCCCUUGACUUUGGGAUAACUUCAGGAAACUGGGGCUAAUACCGGAUAGGAGCUCCUGCUGCAUGGUGGGGGUUGGAAAGUUUCGGCGGUUGGGGAUGGACUCGCGGCUUAUCAGCUUGUUGGUGGGGUAGUGGCUUACCAAGGCUUUGACGGGUAGCCGGCCUGAGAGGGUGACCGGCCACAAUGGGACUGAGAUACGGCCCAGACUCGUACGGGAGGCAGCAGUGGAGAAUAUUGCACAAUGGGCGGAAGCCUGAUGCAGCAACGCCGCGUGCGGGAUGACGGCCUUCGGGUUGUAAACCGCUUUCGCCUGUGACGAAGCGUGAGUGACGGUAAUGGGUAAAGAAGCACCGGCUAACUACGUG